AUUGAACGCUGGCGGCAGGCCUAACACAUGCAAGUCGAACGGUAGCACAGAGAGCUUGCUCUCGGGUGACGAGUGGCGGACGGGUGAGUAAUGUCUGGGAAACUGCCUUGAUGUGGGGGAUAACUACUGGAAACGGUAGCUAAUACCGCAUAAUGCCUUCGGGCCAAAGCGGGGGCUCUUCGGACCUCUCGCGUCAAGAUAUGCCCAGGUGGGAUUAGCUUGGUGGUGAGGUAAUGGCUCACCAAGGCGACGAUCCCUAGCUGGUCUGAGAGGAUGAUCAGCCACACUGGAACUGAGACACGGUCCAGACUCCUACGGGAGGCAGCAGUGGGGAAUAUUGCACAAUGGGGGAAACCCUGAUGCAGCCAUGCCGCGUGUGUGAAGAAGGCCUUCGGGUUGUAAAGCACUUUCAGCGAGGAGGAAAGGUCAGUAGCUAAUAACUGCCAGCUGUGACGUUACUCGCAGAAGAAGCACCGGCUAACUCCGUGCCAGCCGCCGCUGUAACAC
rnacentral:rRNA from 1 species